UAACGCCAAUUCUCAUACAAUCACUGGAGUUAAGCAAUGUCAAGCCAGCUCGGUACUUAGAUGGGUGACCACUUGUGAAUACUAGGUACUGUAAG